AAGUGAAAAGAAGUUAAUAGCAUGAUAUUAUGAAUUUACGUUUACAACAUACAUUUUUACUUUCAACAUUAACUUAUUGAAACGUAUAAUAUUUCGAAAAUAAGGACCACCGUAUGUUCAUAAUGGUUAUAUCCAGUGGGUAAUACACAUGCUGGUUCUUUUCUUUUUCUUAUCAUAUUUUAUUGCUAGAGAUGCUAAUUGGGUGGUAUAUCCUUCUAAUGUCACCUCUUUGAUUGACCAAAUACUCGGAAGGAAGUAUUAUAUUGAAUACACCGUAUGGCAAUGUAUGGUUAACCGUUAUCAUGUUUAUUCUUACAUCAGUAGAACUUGCGCGGUUCAAUAAUAAUUUGGGAUUAUUGUGUGGCCAGUGAUGGAUUAUGUCGCGUGUUUUGUAAUACACGCAGUACUGUAAAGUGAAAAGAGGUCAUUCUGCUGUGUACUUUAUUCAAUGGUAGAGAAAGAUGGAGUUCAUUAGAAAAAGAAAAUGAGACUGAUGGGAUUUCGUUUUAAACUUAAAGGAAGAAGAGUCUGAAGCUAAGGUGUAUAGUUACGACAGUUCUGACGAAUCACCAAAGAAAAAGAAUAACUCGACUUGAGUUCUGGUGGCCUAGGUGCAGUGAAUUCGAAAUAUCAAGAGCGACCCUCAAAUACAGAAUAUGAAAGAAAAAGACUUCACUAUCUAUGAGUACCAACAUAAUCUUUAAGCAGUUCAAUGGAUUUUGAAUCCAGACCAGACAGUCAAGAGAAUUAACCGUAAAUAGAAAAUUAGCAAAAGUGACAGCAACACACGUAUGUUUCGAUUGGUGUGAUAGAUUUAAGACAGGAGUAGCAGACUGUGGUGCAUUGCUUCCAAAAUCUUGACAAAACAACAACUGAACACCUUUUUGUCUCUUUUAAGUAGGAUUGUGCUAAAAAAAAAAAAAAUGCCAGAAAUUGAUAUGGGAUAGUUUGAAAGAAGUACUUUCAAAAUGACACAUACCGGUACAUUAUUAGCACAAGUAUUCAUUGCAAUGUGACAAUUUCUGAUUUUGUGUAUUUUCAACUUUUUAUUUCUUUAUAAACUUUAAAUAAUUUGAUGAACUGCAAGUAUUAUUUGAAUAUGAACACGUAAGUCUCAAGUGUGGUUCGUGCAAUUUUUAACUGCUUUUCGUUUAAAAAGGGGUUUCCCUUAAAAGAAAAUUUAAUCAAGACAUCAAAAUAAAAUAUUGAACUCGAUAAGGGAGACGGAUUUAUAAAAGUUUUUCCAAACUUGUUUCCGAAUCCCAUAUUUGAACUUUAUGUAACAUUGUAAUAUUUGUCUUGACAUUUUUUCAUUAAUAAAUACUGUUUAAACUAAUCCUCUCCUAGCCUGGGAUCGUGGUGUAAUAUCACACCAUACGAAUAAGUAUUUAGAUAGUCCAGUAUCAUUUAAAUACAAUAGCUUUCAAAAUUUCACUUAAUUUUGA